UGGGGAGUAUUGCACAAUGGGCGCAAGCCUGAUGCAGCCAUGCCGCGUGUAUGAAGAAGGCCUUCGGGUUGUAAAGUACUUUCAGCGAGGAGGAAGGCGGUAAGGUUAAUAACCUUAUCGAUUGACGUUACUCGCAGAAGAAGCACCGGCUAACUCCGUGCCAGCAGCCGCGGUAAUACGGAGGGUGCAAGCGUUAAUCGGAAUUACUGGGCGUAAAGCGCACGCAGGCGGUCUGUCAAGUCGGAUGUGAAAUCCCCGGGCUCAACCUGGGAACUGCAUUCGAAACUGGCAGGCUAGAGUCUUGUAGAGGGGGGUAGAAUUCCAGGUGUAGCGGUGAAAUGCGUAGAGAUCUGGAGGAAUACCGGUGGCGAAGGCGGCCCCCUGGACAAAGACUGACGCUCAGGUGCGAAAGCGUGGGGAGCAAACA
rnacentral:rRNA from 1 species